rnacentral:lncRNA from 1 species
UCCGCUUUCUUGUCUAAAUAAUAUUGCGUCUGUCUUCAUAAUUCGACGCCAUGGUUGAGUUGGAUCACUUCACCUCCUCUGAUGGACUGAUUGUUUUUGUGGUGGCAAUCUAAUCCCGCAGUUGUGGUGGGCGGGCUGACGAUCCCAGCGAUGUACCAGAGGUUGAGCAUGGAGAGAUACAUGAGGCUGGCGUCCCUCAACCUCUACAGAUACUAGCCUCCCAAGUAUGUGGUAACAGUGCUGGUUUGGUCUUCCUGGACAGUAUUGCGGCAGUCAUUGCCUCACAUAUUAUUUUCACGAGUUCUGUUUUUGCAUGUACCAUUGGUGUUUUGCAUUCCAAUGUCACUGAAACAUAUAGUUUUUCUGUUCAUGGCUUAUGUUCAGUAAAUUUCAUGAAUGUAUGAGUCUUUGUCCAUGAAAAUCCAGAGGUGUAGCAUCUAUCUACCAGGGCUAGUAAUUAUUGUUGGUUACAGGUUACCAAAGUGUUGCAGCUCAUUAUAUAUGUAGUUCUGGUAGCAGUCAUAAUAAUAUAUCAAGGACAGAUAAGAGAUCCUAUCAUUUCAGAAGGUUUUGCUUGCUUGGUUGAUUAGUGUUUCAGAAUAGGUAUAUCUAAUCCACGAGAACAUCAAAAAUGUCGUAAAUGUUGGCUUGGAUAUUCCAGACAUUUAUUUCAGUUGGAAUUAGAAACAUCUAGCACGGUCUAUUCCUGGUGCAGCUGCAGGACUGCACCUUCGUGCGUGACACCUUCAGAAACAUCAGCUAGAACUACUACCCGGCGCUUGAGUGGUACAGCAAGUGGGUGUACAUCGGGCUGGUGCUGGUGUCCACGACGGUGAUGCUGUCCCUCAUAUUCUGGGUGAUGCUGUCCCUCAUCUUCUGGGUGAUGUACGCUAGGGAGCGGCGCCACCAGGCAUACAACAAGGCACACCGGGGCAACAAGCUAGCGCCUAUGGGCAGGAACGCUUGAUCCACGACGACAGUUUCGCGCAUUCGGUCGGCAUGGACAAAGUCAGUGAGGGUAGAGAGUAGACGACCGCUAUGUGGUUGACUUGAUUAUUGCAUGUUGAUUGAUUUUCUUUCGUUUUUGCGAAUCUGAUGCUUACUAGUAUUUUUUUGUGUUCCUACUCAGUUGAUGUACGGUUUGUGAUGGAGUAGGAAGGAUUGCGUACUUGUUAACUGCUUGCCUCAUUCAGUUUAGUAUCAUCUUGCAUUGUGUCUCUUAUUUUGCAUUGAGAUUGAAAUCACACGUGGUAGCUUUUUGCACCAUACUCAAGUACACAAAUGGUCUUGGUGCGAGGUCUUCAACAAUGCUCCCAUAUUUGUUUGGUGAUUAUUUUGAAUACAUGUUCUUUUUCUACAGAAAUAUGUUGUGGUUCCUUGCUGAAUAAAUAAGUAACCCGUAUAGAUAAUCAUUUUAAAGUACAACUCUUGGAAUUAUUGUUUUCCUUGUUGUAAAAUUACCUAUUUGUUGUAUACUUGUUGCUAUCAGUUAAUCAUACUUUAUUCCUUUUAUUGAGCUGCUCCGCCACCUCCCCCGGCGUCUUCACGGGGGCACACGACGGUAGGCAGGUCAUGGGUGUGAUGGACCUGCUACUGCCGACUGUCUUCCUCGACCACUUCCCUGAGCUGCUCCUGCCGCUGACCCUCCUCAACUUCGCUCGUUGCCUACUGUUGCUGCGGGUGAGACAAUUUCCUCGAUCCGUCGCUUCUUCCUCCUGCCAACUACAUAUGUGAUGAUUCUGUAACUGCUCUAGUUUGGGUGUAGCUGUAGCUACUGUAUUUUGGGUGUGAUUUGAUAAAAGCUAUGUGGUUUGGGGUUAAGGAGAUUGUGUAGCAUUUGAAGUUGUAAAAGCUAUGUAGUUUUACUAGUCAUCAGUAUUAUGCUUAUCAGCUUUAGAAUUCCGAGACAUCAUGUAUUUUUUCCUUUACUUAUUUAUAAUUGUAUAGCAUUUGAAGCUGUAAAAGCUAUGUGGUUUUACUAGUCAUCAGUAUUAUGCUUAUAUUCAGCUUUAAAAUUCUGAGACAUCAUGUAUUGUUUUCCUUUGCUUAUUUAUAAUAUAUAUGAUUUUCUUUCUUCUUUUCAUGUGUUCUGCUUGCUGCUUGAUCCAUUCGCUCGUACCCUUGCUGGUUUGGCUUGAGUUAUGAUCGCACUAUUUUCUUCCUAGGUUGAGACCAACGAGGCAUGGCGGAUCAGGGUCCUCCCCCCCUGUGGACCACACCAUCCUUCCCAAGGGGAAAUACCAGGCCAA